UACGUUUUGAUUUUUAACUCUAUUUGUUGUAGUAUCUUAAACUUUUAUAUAUUUUUUACUUUAUUUUUUGUAAAAUGUUUUAAUUUGAUUUUGUUUUUUUAAGAUAUUAAAAAUUUGGUUUUUGAACUGGAUUAGUACCCAGGUAAUCAAAGUUUAUUAAUUCGGGAGUAAAGUUUUGUUUAAACCGAAAAAAUAUUGACUGACCUUAGAUUUUUCUUUGGAAUAUGUGUUUUGCUGGAGAGCCCUCUUUUUUGGUGAAUUUUGUUGGCACAUGUAUGAUUGUUUAGUUUUUAUUUUAUUUUGUAAUGCUUUUUGUGUUGGCAUUUAAAACAGAUAUAUACUUGGCUUAUAAAUUUAUUUUUCAUGUGUUACUAUUAUAAAUUUUUUUUGGAUUAAUUUUUUAUUUUUUUUUUGAAAUUGGAAAAGAAAGUAAUUUUUUCUUAAUGUUUUGAUGAAUUUAAUAAAUAAGGU
rnacentral:rRNA from 2 species